rnacentral:rRNA from 1 species
UUUCCUACGGGGCGCAGCAGUGGGGAAUCUUCCGCAAUGGGCGAAAGCCUGACGGAGCAAUGUCGCGUGAGGGAAUAAGGCCCUACGGGUCGUAAACCUCUUUUGCCGGGGAGCAAGGGCCGGGACGAGUCCCGGUCCGGAGAGUACCCGGAGAAAAAGCAUCGGCUAACUCCGUGCCAGCAGCCGCGGUAAUACGGAGGAUGCGAGCGUUAUCCGGAUUUAUUGGGUUUAAAGGGUGCGUAGGCGGGCUGUUAAGUCAGCGGUAAAAAUUCGGGGCUCAACCCCGUCCGGCCGUUGAAACUGGG